UCGUUAAUAAUCGGUAUCGAUCACAGUGAUCAGUCGCGUCACGAAUUUCUUGAUUUUUUUUUUUUUAAUCUUUUGCCCUCGAUACACAAUGUGCAGCGGCCCGGAUCCGCCAUAGAUCGCGACUCGAGACUCGAGAGAUUGUCUUUUCGACACUUAGAACGAGUUAGAACGAGUACAUACAACACCGAUAUGUACGGGAAGAGAUUGUUGCUUGAAUGUAAUCCCUAAUUUUUUAAUUUUUUUUUUUCUUUUCUUUUUUUUUAAACCUUUUUUAUAUCCGU